UACCAGCACCCCGAGUGGUCGGGACUUGUUUGGUGCCUAAAGCAUCCGUAGCCGGUUCUACAAGUCUUCCGUUAAAUCCAACUGCUUAACAGGUGGGCUGCGGAAGAUACUAUAGAGCUAGGAGGCGGGAGAGGCAAGCGGUACUCGAUGGGUAGGGGUAAAAUCCGUUGAUCCAUUGAAGACCACCAGUGGCGAAGGCGGCUUGCCAGAACGCGCUCGACGGUGAGGGAUGAAAGCUGGGGGAGCAAACCGG
rnacentral:rRNA from 1 species